CCUCAACUAAUUCAUCACACAAUUAAAUCUAUUUAGUAGCGGUGGAAUUGCAAGUAAAAAUUCGGAAUCUUUGUCUUGUUCAUUAUUCGAUCCUAAUCCAGGAUAUCUAGCAUUUGUUUGCAAAAUCAAGUCAACCCCAUCUCUAGUUUCUUCUAGAUUGCUCCCUGUUUCAUCUAGUCGCAGCUAUUCCCUUUCUGAUUCGUUGAUAUCCUAAUGGCUUAAGGGAAUGGAAUCUAAGUACCUAUAGAAAGGUUCAAGACCAUAAGGGAAGGGGGAACAUGCACCAUCUCUUUGAAUCAAACCUUCCCAGGGUUGAUUAUUUCCCUUUUUCUAAAUAUACAACCCCUGGCUUCAGAUUAGCCGAGUUUCUAUUGGAAACAGCCUCUCUAUCCUCACAAGUUAGGGUUUCAAACAUGGACUACACUGGAGGUCCAACUUUGUUUCCCUUGCAUCGCUGCAAAACAAUUCACCUGGUGAGGCAUGGUCAGGGCAUUCACAAUGUUGAAGGAGACAAGAAUUACAAAGCAUACCUGUCUCCUGAAUAUUUUGAUGCAUACCUUACUACACUUGGUUGGCAACAGGUUGAUAAUUUGCGUAAACACGUUCAUGCAAGUGGCCUCUUUAAGAGAAUUGAGUUAGUUGUCACGUCUCCUCUGCUAAGGACAAUGCAAACAGCAGCUGGAGUAUUUGGUGGUGGUGGCUACAAAGACAGGAUGGAUAUACUACCAUUGAUGGUGGCGAACACAGGAUAUAGUGACCGCUCUGCAAUUUCUAGUCUGGAUUGCCCUCCUAUCAUCGCGCAUGAGCUUUGUCGUGAACACUUGGGUGUUCAUCCUUGUGAUAGCAGAAGGAGCAUAAGUGAAUAUCAGUGUCUCUUUCCUGCAAUUGAUCUUUCACUGAUUGAAAGUGACGAGGAUACCCUGUGGAAGGCCAAUGUUAGGGAGACAAAGGAAGAAGUCAUGGCUAGGGGAAUAAAAUUCCUGAACUGAAAUUGCUGGACUUUGCAAGACAAUAUAUUUUGCACAUGAAAAACAGGUCUUUAAUGCUUCUGUUAAAGUAAAAGAAAUUCAUAUUGUAAUAAGGAAAUUGACAAGAACUACCACAAGCUGUAAUUGAUGCAGUUAAAAGAGCGUAGAGUCGAAGAAGAGAUGGAAUUUCUCCUUUUGCCUUAUUUCUGAUCCAAUGAUUGCUAGGAAAGAGAAAUCUUUUUGAAAAGGUAAGUAAUGACUUCUAAGAAAGAGUUAAAUUGUUUUCUCAAAAGGAUGUAGGGUAUAUGUAAAUGGACUAUAUCAAACUUAGACAUGGCAAGAUUUGAGUCAACAAGAUCUUAUAGGUAAGCAGCAGCGAAACUGGCCCUAGUACUAUAUGCGGACUGCCACUGAAGGAAAGUUGAUGGGGAGUUCCUCUAUUUAUUGUCAAAGGAAGACAUUGAGAACUGGAAAUUCUUUGUGGAGACUUGUUUAGUUAGUUGUCUCGACCACCUAGUAGGAUGAAUCAAUGGAGUCAUGGAAUGGGCAGCUAGGGCAGGGUGGAUAACAGCCGACAUCAAGGAGUGUAGGUUAAGUAAUCUAUUGACAUCAUUUCGUAUGUAUUCCGUCAAAAUAAUCUUAUAUACAGGUGGUAGAUGGUGACUUGUUUCUUAUCAUUGGAUAUAUGGAUGUUCACCAUCCAACUUAAGGUGCAUGGAACUACUUAUCAGGAGGAGGAAUUUGUCAUGGCCUUGACUGUCAUAUCUAGGGUAAAACUUUUUGUUAAAGAAAGGGAGAGAUCCCCACCUAAUGGAAGUUUUCCAUGUCCUGUAUAACUAUCCUCCGGAAGGGGCACAAAAAUGGUCCGUAACCCCAAAUCCUUCAGGAACACUAACAAAGAGGAAGGCUGGAGGAAAAGUUGGGGAAGAGGCCGUCUUAAAUGCACAUGAUGACUGACGGCAGUCUAGUGUCAGGACAGGUGAAAGCAAGUGGAAGAUGACACUAGACCUAGGUUUCUUGGGCCAGGAUUUAUGGACAUUAAAUCAGUCCCUCCUUAGGCCAAAAGUGCAUAGCCCAUAAUUAUGGAGAUACUGACAAACUCAAAGUUGUGAUAGAUUUCAGCCCAAUGACAAUAAGGUUAGGGGAAACACAGCUAGGAGGCCCAAGGAAGAAAUCUAAAAAUUGACUAGUAGGCCAGCUGAGCCUACAUCUUACGAGCCCUUUGUUGAAGGAAGCGGUUGUUGCUUCACUUAAGAAAAUGGUUGUCCAACCUAGGCACGACAAGCCGAGGCUCGUGUCAUGUCCCAAACUGUCCCUAGACGUGAUUGUCACACAACACUCCGCACCUGCCAGGCGAACUAUAUCCCAUAUAAUUAACCAUUUAUACAACCACUAAGAGAAAAUAAGUGCAGGUCUAAAAGCAUUAUUAAUAAGUAAAUGCAUAAUAAUUAUCAACCAAAUCCAUAAUCUAUUAAUAGAAAAUCAACGAUUACUUAAGUAAUAAAACUCUAGCCCAAAUCUCACACUAAGAUAAUCGAGCAUCUAAUAAAGUUAUAUGUGUUUAACUGGCGGGCAUGCAAAUCCAAAGCAAAGGAAAUAAUUGGCAUAAACUAGAUAAUGCUGAAAAGAUGACCUCCAUGAACAAUGCGGUGGCUCACCUUAGCAACAGAAUCAACCCUAACGAAUUCAUCAACCACUAGUUCUGUCGUCUGCAACAAUAUCUACAUAGAGAUGCAGGUAAAUAGUGAGUUAUACGUAAAUAUAACCCUGUAAGAUCCUUGACCCGCCCCUUUGAGUACUCCUGGAACAAGUGUUAGAAAAUACAAAUACAACAAGGACAAAAUAAUAUGUGCAAAAAUCAUAUGCAUUAUAAUAUAUCAAAUGCGUAUAAUUAAAAUAUUCAACAAGAGCCUACCACUUCUGAUACAAUUUUACACUAAGACCUGUCAUAUUCGGGGUGGAGGAAAUUAACCAAACACCCCAACACUAUGCUCCAAAUCUCUCACGGCGGCAUACAUAAUGCCCCAAGUAUAUUACAGCAGCAAAGAAAUUAAUUGAACACUCCAAUGUUGUGGCACGAAGCCAUGCCACACAACCGAUCAAUCAUUAAAUUAUUUCAACAUUUUAAAUAAAAUAGUAUAUUCACGGCCAGUCACAGACUAUCGAUUCUGCCAAGCACACGCUCGCCCCAACACAUGGAUCAGGCAGACAAAAUAUAGUUUAAAAGUAAGCUUUGAAAAGCAAGCACCAAAGCUUAAAGUCUCACUUAUCUCACUUCCGCAGCCUUGCGACGUCUAGAAGACCAACCAUUCUAUCCAAAUACUAAUUAACACGUCCUAAUUAGUCUAGGUGAAUAAUUUCCACAAUUUUAGGACAAGUCAAAAUCAAAGUCCACCCUCGGUCCAAUUAAAUAAAAAUUUGUACACAAAUAAAUGCCAAAUGAGGCACUUUAGUAGUGAACCAAAAUGCCAAAACAGUGGCUUCAGUCAUACCACCAAGCCAUCAUCCUUACUUUAAUCAUGGCAUCAUGAUGAUUCCUAUAUUCCGAUGUACUUAGUAACAGUAUUUGUGGCAAUGUGAAAUAAGAGGCCUCGUUUUCAAAUUCCCCAUCUCAUAUCUUAUCGAUACAAGCUAUCAAUCAUUAUCUCAUCAUUAGAACCUAAUCAUUAGUUAAUCAUCACCCCUCACGUUAUUACCCAAAUCAUUGGGUAGUCAUUAUUCUUCCUAAAUUUAUAAGAACUAAGAAUCAAUACUACAUUUUUUUCACCCAUAGCAGAUUAGCCUUUCAUAUCAAAUUCCACUAACUCAUUAUCAUUUCCAUAUUAUUUACCCCACAAUCAUUGGCCUAAUCAUUAUGUCUCCCACUCACAUCACCAUCAUAUCAUUGAUUCAUUAUUGGCAUCAUUAAUACUUCUUAGAUAAAACACACACACACACUCUCUCUCUCUAUAUGUGUGUAAAAUUAUAUCCUUGGGUCUAGGAAGAAAAAGAAGCAUACUCAUAGAGGAAUUCACUGGUGACGUGCUUGGGCAGUGAAAAUUUCAUAGCUUGAGGUAUUGUAAUUUCAUAUGCUAAUGGGUCAAAGAAAUUACAAUACCUUAAGUUCUGAAAUUUUCAGUGCCCUAACUCCUUAACAUCACCAGUGAAUUUCGCUACGAGUUUGCUUCUUUUCUUCCAAAAUCCAAGGAAAUAAAUUAACCUAUUUUCUACUCCUUAAGCCACUAUGAUUAAUAAAACUUUCAUUCUCAUCUUCUAUUUUUCCAAAUUGGUGGUAAAGCUUGCUCUGGGCACUUGUGUAGUUUUCAAAAUUUGAUUCUUCUAGUGCCCCUAUCUAUCAUUUAACCUUGAGGGAGUGAAGGAGCAUUAUGUAUUUACGGUUUCUUUCUAUUAACUAUCUUGCAUCACUCUUUUUUUUCCCCUUAUAAUUCCUUUUUCUGGUGCCCCUUUUUCUUUUGGUUUGGCUCUUGUUUUGUUGUUUG